rnacentral:lncRNA from 1 species
GCAGCUAUACUGUGGAACUUUUAGAUAAUUUAAUCAAAGAGCCUUAGUCUUUACACUAUCUGUGUGUGUAUAGAAGUACCUUUUUGGUAAAAAUGACUAAAAUUUUCCAAAAAUGUAUUAAUUAAUGAAAUAAUAAAUAUUUCUUUAGAUUUAAACAGAAUGCAUUAUUGCUAUUUUUAAAAUUUGAAAAUAUGAUUUUUUCUUCAUGUUCUUGAAUUUAAUUUAAAAAUUCUAAGAAAUGAUAUCUAACUUCAUUCUAGGUAAUACUUAAAAGACCGUUGUCUUAUAUAUUAACUAUAGGUGUUUUCUAAAAAUAGAGUGGCUCAAUAGAAUUGUUAGUUUAUUUUGAGCUGUCUAAACCUGGAGACUUGGGAGUCCAAGUCACUUCCUUGAAGCAGCUAAAUUCCUAACCCUCCACUGGGAAUGUGCACACCCUCCCAGGAGUAUCUCUUUCUAGCUUGUGUGCCAUUUGCAAACCAGACUUGUCAAAUAGAUGUCUCAUGAAUUCCGGUAAUGGAACCUGAUAGGCAUCUGCUGAAAAACUUCUUACCCAAAGCAGGAACCAAAUGAAUGGAAAGAACCGAAAGUUCUCCCAAGUAAUUGUUUCAAGUGAAAUGACAUUGGACAUCUCUUCAAAAACCGAUCUAAAAGAAAUCAACAGAAAUGAGCAAGAAAGUAGACACACUUUAUAGAUGCAGUUUUCAGAUAAGAGGAAAAUUAUUCUUUUCAUUUCAGAAAAGAAUGAAAUCUUUUCCAUGAGACAGUACAGGGGGAUGGAUAAGUGCUCAGAGAUCAAGUGUGUGAAUUUGACUUCCAGUUCUGUCUCCUGGUUGUAUAGUCUCUGUAAGAAGAUGGUCAUAAUAGUCAUAUCUACCUGAUAGGUUUGUUGUGAGAACAGUGCCUGGCCCAUAGAAAGCCUGUGACAGACUUUAAUAUCAUUCCCAGAGGUUUGAAAGAGAGAGAGAAUAAGAUAAAGGAUACUAAGUAGCAUAUGGGAAAGCAUGGGCUGUGGAAUCAGAGACCUCAAUUCACUUCUCAGGUGAUGCUCCUAGCUGGAUGACCUUGUGUAUGUUACCAAACCUCCUGGAGCCUCCAUUUUCUUAUUUUCUUUCUUUCUUUCUUUCUUUUUUUUUUUUUUUCCUUUUUAUGGCUGCACUUGCAGCAUAUGGAAGUUCCAGGGCCAGGGGUUGAAUCAGAGCUACAGUUGAGGCCUAUCUCACAGCCACAGCCGCAGCAACACUGGAUCUGAGCAGCAUCUGCAACCUAUGUUGCGUCUUGCAGCAAAACUGAAUACUUAACCCACUGUGUGAGGCCAGGGAUCAAACCUGCAUCCUUACGGAGACUAUAUCAGGUUCUUAACCCACUGAGCCACAACGGGAACUCCUGUUUUCUUAUUUUCAAAAUGAAAGUACUAGUCAUGGAGUUGGAAGAUGAGAGAUGGAUACAAAGUCCCUGCACUUGAUAAGCAUUCAGUAUUAGGCCACCUUUCCCUGCAGCUCUAGAACUAGUUGUUAAAAAAUAUCUUUAUUAAUUUGUUUUUUGUACCCAAUAAAAUUUAUUGUGUACUUCUUUUAGGGUGAAAAUGGUUUACAUGGAGUUCCAGGAUUACCCGGUCAAAAGGGAGAGCAAGGUUUUGAAGGCCUUAAAGGAGAAAUUGGUGAAAAGGUAAAGAUCUUUAUAUGCUACAUACUCAUCUGUAAAAAUUGUGUUCUUGAAAAUAUUUUGAAGUGGGAUAUCUGACUUGUUUUUGUGUCUUCCUUAUAAGCAGUUCAGUGAUUUUUAUAGGAAUAGUUUAAAAUUUGUGCCUCACUUAAGGUAGACUUAGCAUAUUGAUGAUGGUCAGAAAUCUUUCUCAACUUGUUAAAUGGUAGUUAUUUCUACAUAUUCUUGUUAAAUCAUUCCAUUGAUGUGCAAAUGACCCACACAUUUGUUAAGCAUUAUAUUUUUGUGCUCUCACAUUAUUGAUGCACUCAUUAAGUGUCCAAGUCUAAAUAAAUGCUUUGUUUUUAUGUAUACCUGUUUUAUCAGUGGAACUUUUCCUGAGGAAAUAAGUAGGACUAAUUGUAAUAGUCAGGGUCCAACAGAAAAGGGAUGGUACACUCAAAAUAGAAUAGUGUGAAAGAGUUUAACAAAGGAAUUAUAUAAAAAGUAGGGGCAAGGCUUAGGUAAGCCACUAGGAUUGUGCAGUAUAUCCCAGACUGGGUUAUAGUGAAUUCCUUAAAUCCUACCAGGUUACUGGUUUCCAAACUCAGAGGUAGAGAAAACUAUGUAGAAAGAAAGGGCUGCAGGCUGGAACUGAGGAAAGCACUUAACGCCUCUGUUCAAGCAAUCCUUUUGCACAUUCACAGCGUUGCACUGAAAGUACAGAGAAUGGAAGUGUCCUGGUCAUCUGAAAUUUCCCUUCACACAAUCAUUUGCAUCCUUCUGCAUUUCAUAUGUCUAGUUUUAUUUUCAAAUAGAACAAAAGCAAUACCAUUCCUUUGUUUUGUAAAAUGUCAUGUAAUUGGAGAGCCAGAAGGAAGGCUAGAAAGGGGAAAAGUUCAUUUCAAAUUAGGGUUGAUGAUCUGUGUUGAGUUUUCUGAGCUGUGAUCAGUUAUUUGCUUAUUCACUGAGUAUUUAUAGAUAGAAUGAGCAUCUAUUGUAAUUGCCAGACAAAUUAUGCAUAUUGUAAGUGACUUGUUAAUUACUUUUCCUCACAGAACAGUGAGGAAAAAGGAAGGAUAACCAGGUAGUAACCAUGUAAUUGAGAAAUCCAUUGAGUGAUGACUCUUUUUAAAAUAGGACUCUUGAAUAUUUUUACUUUAGAAUAGCAGUCAGUGCAAUGCAAUGGCUCUAAAUAAAUGCUUUAUUUACACAUAUUCCUGUUUUAUUAAUGGGACUUUACCUGUAGGAAUAGGUGAAAAGAAGCCAGAAAAAUAGAUAUAUUCUCUGUAAUUUAAAGUUUCCAUCUCACUAAAAUCUUAGUGGCUAUUUUGAUAUUUUAUAUGUACAAGUUGAUAUUGUUCAGUAAUAAAUUCUCACAGUAUAGGAGGUAUAGAAAAAACAUUCAAUAUAUUUGACUACAAAGAUUUGCCUUUUAAUUCCUCAUAUCUAUUAACUGUUGCCUUCAAAUAAUCAAUUUCACCAUGAGGUGAAAAUAUGUAUGUAGAAUAUGAUUAAGAUAUCGGGAAGAAAUAAAGCCUCAACUAGAAAAGAAAAUAUCUUGAAUGAGAAUCACUACUCACAUAGUUUAUAGUCAAAUGUAAGAUUCACAUAAUAACUCUUAAUGUUAGAAAUAUAUUCUGCCUUAAUUGUUAUUUAUCAUAUAUGGGAUCUUUGACUUGUUUCAGUGUUACAUGCUAUGUCUUAUGAUAUAGGACCAUGUCUAUUUUUCCAUCUGAUACAUAAUUGACAUCACACUUUUGUUUCUAGAUUAGAAACUUUUUGUUUCUAGAUUAAACAAGGAAAGUAUGUAAAGCACUCAUUUUUGUGUGACACCAGUAAUAUUCUUGGACUGCUUACAACAUAAUCUGUUUUCUGAAUAAAGACAACCUCAUUUGAAUUUUAGUUCUCUGUGGAAAACUGAGUCAUAAUGAAAUAAGACAACUUUCUUCUUAAUGACCUUAUGCAGUCUUAGGUGUUUAAAAUUUGACUGUUUUGAGUAACACAGUUCACUAGUUGCCAAAUAAAAUAAUUCACUAGUUGUUAUUAUUCAAAGACAUCGUAUCUACCAAAGUCACAUGGCUGCUGACCCAAAAAGAAAGGUUUAUUAAUUGUCAAAGAGAACAUACCAUAUGAUGGUUUUCAGGUGGUAUUUCUAUAAUCCAUUAUAAACCAAAUAGGGAAAUCUGCUGCUUUUCUUUAUGGUUAAAAAACUAGCUUUCAGACCAGCUUAACACGAGCCAGACUAUUACAGGUUCCUCAGUCAGAAAGGAAUCCAGGAAAUGUAAACAAGUAUUGAGGACCUUGUUUGAAAGCAUAUUCCUGAGGCUAUCGCAACUCAGAGCGGAAACUCAUACCUCAUUACCCAAGCAAACACAAUUCAGCCAAGUCGGCCCUAAAGUGAAAGUUACUUGAAGGGAUGGUUCUUUGUCUCAAAGAUUAGGUUCUUAUGCUGGAACCUUAGGUUUAUCACGUAGAUAUGCAUGCAUAGGAACGACCAUACUCCACUGCCCCAUUCCUGGCUGGUAAAGUCAGGUGAGCAUCAUUCAAGAAACCCUGGACUCCCUGACAGUGUAGCCCAUGAAGCAAGAGGGAGAAAGUCUGUAUUCUGGCAGAGGAGUAGAACCCUAACUCAGGUCUACAUCCUGGCUUCUCUGUUCCUAUAGGAGUGGUCUUAAAUAUCCCUUCUUUGGGGGAUUUUUCCCUUAGGUACCUUCAGUAUUACUGCAGACAUAAUGUGGCUACUACUAGUACUGAACAAAGUGAAGAGUCCACUCUUUAAAAAAUAUAUAUAUUUUAUUGAAGUAAAGUUGGUAUACCAUAUUGUGUUAGUUUCUGCUGUAUAGCAAAGUGAUUCAGUUAUACACAUACAUGUGUAUAUUCUUUUUCUUAUUCUUUUCCAUUAUGGUUUAUCACAGAAUAUUGAGUAUAGUUCCAUGUGCUAUACAGUAGGACUUUGUUGUUGUCCAUCCAAUAUCCAUAGUUUGCAUGUGUUAAUCCCAAAUUCCUGAUCCAUCCCUCCCCCAUCCUCCUUUUCUUUGGCAAUCAAAAGUCUGCUCUCCAUGUCUGUGAGUCUGUUUCUGUUUUAUAGAUAGGUUCAUUUGUGUCUUAUUUUAGAUUCCACAUAUAAGUGAUAUCAUCUGGCAUUUGUCUUUGAUUGACUUCACUUAGUGUGAUAAUCUCUAGGUGCAUCCAUGUUGCUGCAAAUGGCAUUAUUUCAUUUUUAUGGCCGAGUAGUAUUCCAUUGUAUAAGAUGUAACACAUCUUUAUCCACUUCUCUGUCAAUGGACAUUUAGGUUGCUUCCAUGUCUUGGUUAUUGUGAAUAGUGCUGCUACGAACAUAAAGGUGCAUGUAACUUUUCCAAUUAUAGUUUUACCUGGAUAUAUGCCCAGGAAUAGGAUUGCUGGAUCAUAUGGCAACUCUAUUUUUAGUUUUUUGAGGAACCUCCAUACUGUUUUUCAUAGUGGCUGCACCAAUUUACAUUCCUACCAACUGAGUAGGAGGGUUCCCUCUUCUCCACAGUCUGUGCAGCAUUUGUUAUUUGUAGAUUUUUUUAAAUGAUGGUCAUUCUGACCAGUGUGAGGUAGUGAAGAUUCCAGUCUUGAUGACAGUUAUCCCUACUGUCAGCCUCCCUGGCAAUGAUUCAGCCAAACAAACUCUUGUUAUAUGACCAAAGGUAAACACAGGAAUGAAACUUUGCAUAUCACUUUAGAAAAAGGCCCAUUUGUCUGAGGUUCAGUGAAGUGAUCUGUACUCCUAAACCCUGAGCCCAGGUCUUUACUUUAGGUCUUUGUGAAAAUAGGACUAUUACGUGGUUGCAUUUAUGGGGGGAAAAAAAAGGAGCAAAUGGAAAAGCAGAUACAAACAUCUGCUUCAUGAUAGCAUUCAAUAUUUUAAGGUUAUUCUUCAGAUCAUGUAAUUUAGUUUGCUUUUAAAAUUAUUAUUAUUUUGUGUUGUCAUUCAAGCCUUAAAUAACUUAAAAGUUUAAAAAAUAUUUUCUUCAGCAUUUAAACUUGAUUCUGCUGCACUUUUUUUUAUUAAAUAUCAUUUGAUUGUGUGAGAGAAACAUCCAGUGGCAACUGUUACUCAUGCCACAGUGUUCCUAACACUUUGUAGCUAAAAUGUUGUCAAUUUCAGUUCAUUCAAAAGUGACAUUUAAGAAUGUGGGCACAGAUAGCCCCAAAUCCUUUCAAGGAUCUAAAAUGUUUCAAUAAGUGUGUGACUUUUCCAUUUGAUAUUAAAAUAAUCUGAUCUUUUCAGGAUCUCUUAAGUUUAGUGAAAAAAAAAAAAAAAAAAAA